GAUUAGAGUUUGAUCCUGGCUCAGGAUGAACGCUAGCGGCAGGCCUAACACAUGCAAGUCGCGGGGCAGCGCGGUGCAGCAAUGCACUGGCGGCGACCGGCGCACGGGUGCGUAACGCGUAUGCAACCUGCCCAUUCCCGGGGGAUAGCCCGCCGAAAGGCGGAUUAAUACCCCAUGGACCCUUAGCCCCGCAUGGGGCGGAGGGUAAAGCUCCGGCGGGAAUGGAUGGGCAUGCGUGCCAUUAGCUGGUUGGUGGGGUAACGGCCCACCAAGGCUACGAUGGCUAGGGGGUCUGGGAGGAUGAUCCCCCACACUGGUACUGAGACACGGACCAGACUCCUACGGGAGGCAGCAGUGAGGAAUAUUGGUCAAUGGGCGGAAGCCUGAACCAGCCAUGCCGCGUGCAGGACGACGGCCCUACGGGUUGUAAACUGCUUUUCCGGGGGAGGAAUAACCCCCCUGCGGGGGGGGAUGCCGGUACCCCGGAAUAAGGA
rnacentral:rRNA from 1 species